GAUGCCCAUCAUAUAAUACAGAUGUAAUUCCAGUACUAUGUACACAUACAAGCUAGUAUAUUUUCACUGUACUCCACACAUGGCUCAUCACAUCCAGCCCAUCAGGUCUACGCAGUGCCCCCUAGUUUAUUGGGCUAGAGAGUAUAUGAUGCCCAUCAUGUAGUACAGAUGUACUUCUAGUACUAUGUACACAUACAAUCUAGUAUAUUUUCACUGCACUGGAGUAGUUAAAUUAAUAAUGACACAUUUACAAUAUCCUGGGCAUUGCUAAUUAAUUAAGGCGCGCCAAUAUACUCGUACCCGUAGGAACUACGACCAGCUGCCACCUGAAAGCAUUCAUGCAAAGAGGAUAGAAGAACACGCCAUGUCCGUGGUAAGGCUGUGCAUCGCAAGAACUAAGAAGAACAAAGGACUUGGCAUUGGUUUUAUCGUGGUCAACACCGCAAACAAGCUUGUGGUCAUGACUUGUGGCCACUCGUUAAAUGAAUGGGUUAAGGGCACAAAGGUAGGCGUCACAUUCUAUAACAGGAGAGAUUCUAGUGCUGAAGCGAUGUGGGUUAAUACAGAGAAGGAGGUUGCAUUGCUUCUCAUAAGUACCUCUCCAAUCUCGAACUCUCUGCGUAUCCUACUGUCUAUUUCUCGUACGAUGAUGUUAGAGUUGGGCUAAAUACAUGUCCUAUCACAUCCAGCCCAUCAGGUCUACGCAGUGCCCCCAGUUUAUUGGGCUAGAGAGUAUAUGAUGCCCAUCAUGUAGUACAGAUGUACUUCUAGUACUAUAUACACAUAUAACCUAGUAUAUUUUCAGCCCGAAAGCAUUAAUGCAAAGAGGAUAGAAGAAGAACACGCCAUGUCCGUGGUAAGGCUUUACAUCGCAAGAACUAAGAAGAACAAAGGACGUGGCACCGGUUUUAUCGUGGUCAACACCGCGAACAAGCUUGUGGUCAUAACCUGUGGCCACCCGUUAAAUGAAUGGGUUAGGGGCACAAAGGUAGGCGUCACAUUCCAUGACAUGGGAGAUGCUAGUGCCGAAGCGGUGUGGGUUAAUACAGAGAAGGAGGUUGCAUUGCUUCUCAUAGAUACCUCUUCUAAUCCUGAACUCUCUGCGUAUCCUGCUGUCGAUUUCUCGUACGAUGACGUUGGAGUUGGAGAUUUUCUCGUGACGCUUGGGCAUCCUCAUGGCAUGCGGGGCUAUCACGAUGUAUGGAACAAUUUCGGCUUGGUCACCUAAGUUGCUUCCAUCCUAAAACAGCUACUGUUAAUCACGUACGAAUAAUUAACACACGUGCGCGCACACAGAGGCGUACAGUGCAUGCAUAUUGAUAUUUGGUAACGUGCACUACAUGGAUGUAUACUUGAAGCAAGGAGGUCGGUCCUACUGCCACUGGUUUGGGCAGUAUUGUCCAAAUAUUUAAUUAGUGGUGGCUUUGCCACCGGUUCGGGCGCGUGCGGCUCACCAGGUUUUGGAGUAGAUGGCCGGGUGGUAGGCAUGAUCAUCUCUGGAGUCCAAGAUAUGACAUAUAUUUCUUUCAGUGGGGUGGAUAUGGGAGACACUACAGAUGUACUUCUAGUACUAUGUAUGUGUCUAGUAUACGUUCACUGUACUCCACACAUAGCCCAUCACAUCAAGCCCAUCAAGUCGACGCAGUGCCGUGGUAAGGCUGUGCAUCGCAAGAACUACGAAGAACAAAGGACAUGGCACCGGUUUUAUCGUGGUCAAUACCGCGAACAAGCUUGUGGUGAUGACCUGUGGCCACCCGUUAAAUGAAUGGGUUAGGGGCACAAAGGUAGGCGUCACAUUGCAUGACAUGGGAGAUGCUAGUGCCGAAGCGGUGUGGGUUAAUACAGAGAAGGAGGUUGCAUUGCUUCUCAUAGAUACCUCUUCUAAUCCUGAACUCUCUGCGUAUCCUGCUGUCGAUUUCUCGUACGAUGACGUUGGAGUUGGAGAUUUUCUCGUGACGCUUGGGCAUCCUCAUGGCAUGCGGGGCUAUCACGAUGUAUGGAACAAUUUCGGCUUGGUCACCUAAGUUGCUUCCAUCCUAAAACAGCUACUGUUAAUCACGUACGAAUAAUUAACACACGUGCGCGCACACAGAGGCGUACAGUGCAUGCAUAUUGAUAUUUGGUAACGUGCACUACAUGGAUGUAUACUUGCAGCAAGGAGGUCGGUCCUACUGCCACUGGUUUGGGCAGUAUUGUCCAAAUAUUUAAUUAGUGGUGACUUUGCCACCGGUCCGGGCGCGUGCGGCUCACCAGUUUUUGAGUAGAUGGCCGGGUGGUAGGCAUGAUCAUCUCUGGAGUCCAAGAUAUGACAUAUGUUUCUUUCGGUGGGGUGGAUAUGGGAGACACUACAGAUGUACUUCUAGUACUAUGUAUGUGUCUAGUAUACGUUCACUGUACUCCACACAUGGCCCAUCACAUCAAGCCCAUCAGGUCGACGCAGUACCGUGGUAAGGCUGUGCAUCGCAAGAAGUAAGAAGAACAAAGGACGUGGCACCGGUUUUAUCGUGGUCAACACCGCGAACAAGCUUGUGGUGAUGACCUGUGGCCACCCGUUAAAUGAAUGGGUUAGGGGCACAAAGGUAGGCGUCACAUUCCAUGACAUGGGAGAUGCUAGUGCCGAAGCGGUGUGGGUUAAUACAGAGAAGGAGGUUGCAUUGCUUCUCAUAGAUACCUCUUCUAAUCCUGAACUCUCUGCGUAUCCUGCUGUCGAUUUCUCGUACGAUGACGUUGGAGUUGGAGAUUUUCUCGUGACGCUUGGGCAUCCUCAUGGCAUGCGGGGCUAUCACGAUGUAUGGAACAAUUUCGGCUUGGUCACCUAAGUUGCUUCCAUCCUAAAACAGCUACUGUUAAUCACGUACGAAUAAUUAACACACGUGCGCGCACACAGAGGCGUACAGUGCAUGCAUAUUGAUAUUUGGUAACGUGCACUACAUGGAUGUAUACUUGCAGCAAGGAGGUCGGUCCUACUGCCACUGGUUUGGGCAGUAUUGUCCAAAUAUUUAAUUAGUGGUGGCUUUGCCACCGGUUCGGGCGCGUGCGGCUCACCAGGUUUUGGAGUAGAUGGCCGGGUGGUAGGCAUGAUCAUCUCUGGAGUCCAAGAUAUGACAUAUAUUUCUUUCCGUGGGGUGGAUAUGGGAGACACUACAGAUGUACUUCUAGUACUAUGUAUGUGUCUAGUAUACGUUCACUGUACUCCACACAUGGCCCAUCACAUCAAGCCAAUCAGGUCGACGCAGUACCGUGGUAAGGCUGUGCAUCGCAAGAAGUAAGAAGAACAAAGGACGUGGCACCGGUUUUAUCGUGGUCAACACCGCGAACAAGCUUGUGGUGAUGACCUGUGGCCACCCGUUAAAUGAAUGGGUUAGGGGCACAAAGGUAGGCGUCACAUUCCAUGACAUGGGAGAUGCUAGUGCCGAAGCGGUGUGGGUUAAUACAGAGAAGGAGGUUGCAUUGCUUCUCAUAGAUACCUCUUCUAAUCCUGAACUCUCUGCGUAUCCUGCUGUCGAUUUCUCGUACGAUGAUGUUGGAGUUGGAGAUUUUCUCGUGACGCUUGGGCAUCCUCAUGGCAUGCGGGGCUAUCACGAUGUAUGGAACAAUUUCGGCUUGGUCACCUAAGUUGCUUCCAUCCUAAAACAGCUACUGUUAAUCACGUACGAAGGAUUAACACACGUGCGCGCACACAGAGGCGUACAGUGCAUGCAUAUUGAUAUUUGGUAACGUGCACUACAUGGAUGUAUACUUGCAGCAAGGAGGUCGGUCCUACUGCCACUGGUUUGGGCAGUAUUGUCCAAAUAUUUAAUUAGUGGUGGCUUUGCCACCGGUCCGGGCGCGUGCGGCUCACCAGGUUUUGGAGUAGAUGGCCGGGUGGUAGGCAUGAUCAUCUCUGGAGUCCAAGAUAUGACAUAUGUUUCUUUCGGUGGGGUGGAUAUGGGAGACACUACAGAUGUACUUCUAGUACUAUGUAUGUGUCUAGUAUACGUUCACUGUACUCCACACAUGGCCCAUCACAUCAAGCCAAUCAGGUCGACGCAGUACCGUGGUAAGGCUGUGCAUCGCAAGAAGUAAGAAGAACAAAGGACGUGGCACCGGUUUUAUCGUGGUCAACACCGCGAACAAGCUUGUGGUGAUGACCUGUGGCCACCCGUUAAAUGAAUGGGUUAGGGGCACAAAGGUAGGCGUCACAUUCCAUGACAUGGGAGAUGCUAGUGCCGAAGCGGUGUGGGUUAAUACAGAGAAGGAGGUUGCAUUGCUUCUCAUAGAUACCUCUUCCAAUCUUGAAUUCUCUGCGUAUCCUGCUGUCGAUUUCUCGUACGAUGACGUUGGAGUUGGAGAUUUUCUCGUGACGCUUGGGCAUCCUCAUGGCAUGCGGGGCUAUCACGAUGUAUGGAACAAUUUCGGCUUGGUCACCUAAGUUGCUUCCAUCCUAAAACAGCUACUGUUAAUCACGUACGAAUAAUUAACACACGUGCGCGCACACAGAGGCGUACAGUGCAUGCAUAUUGAUAUUUGGUAACGUGCACUACAUGGAUGUAUACUUGCAGCAAGGAGGUCGGUCCUACUGCCACUGGUUUGGGCAGUAUUGUCCAAAUAUUUAAUUAGUGGUGGCUUUGCCACCGGUUCGGGCGCGUGCGGCUCACCAGGUUUUGGAGUAGAUGGCCGGGUGGUAGGCAUGAUCAUCUCUGGAGUCCAAGAUAUGACAUAUAUUUCUUUCCGUGGGGUGGAUAUGGGAGACACUACAGAUGUACUUCUAGUACUAUGUAUGUGUCUAGUAUACGUUCACUGUACUCCACACAUGGCCCAUCACAUCAAGCCAAUCAGGUCGACGCAGUACCGUGGUAAGGCUGUGCAUCGCAAGAAGUAAGAAGAACAAAGGACGUGGCACCGGUUUUAUCGUGGUCAACACCGCGAACAAGCUUGUGGUGAUGACCUGUGGCCACCCGUUAAAUGAAUGGGUUAGGGGCACAAAGGUAGGCGUCACAUUCCAUGACAUGGGAGAUGCUAGUGCCGAAGCGGUGUGGGUUAAUACAGAGAAGGAGGUUGCAUUGCUUCUCAUAGAUACCUCUUCUAAUCCUGAACUCUCUGCGUAUCCUGUUGUCGAUUUCUCGUACGAUGAUGUUGGAGUUGGAGAUUUUCUCGUGACGCUUGGGCAUCCUCAUGGCAUGCGGGGCUAUCACGAUGUAUGGAACAAUUUCGGCUUGGUCACCUAAGUUGCUUCCAUCCUAAAACAGCUACUGUUAAUCACGUACGAAGGAUUAACACACGUGCGCGCACACAGAGGCGUACAGUGCAUGCAUAUUGAUAUUUGGUAACGUGCACUACAUGGAUGUAUACUUGCAGCAAGGAGGUCGGUCCUACUGCCACUGGUUUGGGCAGUAUUGUCCAAAUAUUUAAUUAGUGGUGGCUUUGCCACCGGUCCGGGCGCGUGCGGCUCACCAGGUUUUGGAGUAGAUGGCCGGGUGGUAGGCAUGAUCAUCUCUGGAGUCCAAGAUAUGACAUAUGUUUCUUUCGGUGGGGUGGAUAUGGGAGACACUACAGAUGUACUUCUAGUACUAUGUAUGUGUCUAGUAUACGUUCACUGUACUCCACACAUGGCCCAUCACAUCAAGCCAAUCAGGUCGACGCAGUACCGUGGUAAGGCUGUGCAUCGCAAGAAGUAAGAAGAACAAAGGACGUGGCACCGGUUUUAUCGUGGUCAACACCGCGAACAAGCUUGUGGUGAUGACCUGUGGCCACCCGUUAAAUGAAUGGGUUAGGGGCACAAAGGUAGGCGUCACAUUCCAUGACAUGGGAGAUGCUAGUGCCGAAGCGGUGUGGGUUAAUACAGAGAAGGAGGUUGCAUUGCUUCUCAUAGAUACCUCUUCCAAUCUUGAAUUCUCUGCGUAUCCUGCUGUCGAUUUCUCGUACGAUGACGUUGGAGUUGGAGAUUUUCUCGUGACGCUUGGGCAUCCUCAUGGCAUGGGGGGCUAUCACGAUGUAUGGAACAAUUUUGGCUUGGUCAACUAAGUUGCUUCCAUCCUAAACCAGCUACUGUUAAUCACGUACGAAUAAUUAACACAUGUGCGCGCACACAGAGGCGUACAAUGCAUGCAUAUUGAUAUUUGCUAACGUGCACUACAUGAAUGUAUACUUGCAGCAAGGAGGUCGGUCCUACUGCCACUGGUUUGGGCAGUAUUGUCCAAAUAUUUAAUUAGUGGUGACUUUGCCACCGGUCCGAGCGCGUGCGGCUCACCAGUUUUUGGAGUAGAUGGCCGGGUGGUAGGCAUGAUCAUCUUUGGAGUCCAAGAUAUGACAUAUGUUUCUUUCAGUGGGGUGGAUAUGGGAGACACUACAGAUGUACUUCUAGUACUAUGUAUGUGUCUAGUAUACGUUCACUGUACUCCACACAUAGCCCAUCACAUCAAGCCCAUCAAGUCGACGCAGUGCCGUGGUAAGGCUGUGCAUCGCAAGAACUACGAAGAACAAAGGACGUGGCACCGGUUUUAUCGUGGUCAACACCGCGAACAAGUUUGUGGUGAUGACCUGUGGCCACCCGUUAAAUGAAUGGGUUAGGGGCACAAAGGUAGGCGUCACAUUCCAUGACAUGGGAGAUGCUAGUGCCGAAGCGGUGUGGGUUAAUACAGAGAAGGAGGUUGCAUUGCUUCUCAUAGAUACCUCUUCUAAUCCUGAACUCUCUGCGUAUCCUGCUGUCGAUUUCUCGUACGAUGACGUUGGAGUUGGAGAUUUUCUCGUGACGCUUGGGCAUCCUCAUGGCAUGCGGGGCUAUCACGAUGUAUGGAACAAUUUCGGCUUGGUCACCUAAGUUGCUUCCAUCCUAAAACAGCUACUGUUAAUCACGUACGAAUAAUUAACACACGUGCGCGCACAUGGAGGCGUACAGUGCAUGCAUAUUGAUAUUUGCUAACGUGCACUACAUGAAUGUAUACUUGCAGCAAGGAGGUCGGUCCUACUGCCACUGGUUUGGGCAGUAUUGUUCAAAUAUUUAAUUAGUGAUGACUUUGCCACCGGUCCGGGCGCGUGCGGCUCACCUGUUUUUGGAGUAGGUGGCCGGGUGGUAGGCAUGAUCAUCUCUGCAGUCCAAGAUAUGACAUAUGUUCUUUCAGUGGGGUGGAUAUGGAAGACACUACAGAUGUACUUCUAGUACUAUGUAUUUGUCUAGUAUACAUUCACUGUACUCCACACAUGGCCCAUCACAUCAAGCCCAUCAGGUCGACGCAGUGCCCCCCCAGUUUAUUGGGCGAGAGAGGAUAUGGUGCCCAUCAUGUAGUACAGAUAUAGUUCUCGUACUAUGUACACAUACACUGUACUCCACACAUGGCCCAUCACAUCCAUCCCGUCAGGUCUAUGCAGUGCCCCUCAAUUUUUUGGGCUAGAGAGUAUAUGAUGCCCAUCAUGUAGUACAAAUGUACUUCUAGUACUGUGUACACAAACAAGCUCGUAAAUUUUCACGACACUGGAGUAGUUAAAUUAAUAAUGGCACAUAUACAAUAUCCUGGGCAUUGCUAGUUAAUUAAGACGCGCCAGUAUACUCGUACUCGCAGGAACUAUGACCAACUGCCACCAGGAAGCAUUCAUGCAAAGAGGAUAGAAGAAGAACACGCCAUGUCCGUGGUAAGGCUGUGCAUCGCAAGAACUAAGAAGAACAAAGGACGUGGGACCGGUUUUAUCGUGGUCAACACCGCGAACAAGCUUGUGGUCAGGACCUAUGGCCACCCGUUAAAUGAAUGGGUUAGGGGCACAAAGGUAGGCGUCACAUUCCAUGACAUGAGAGAUGCUAGUGCCGAAGCGGUGUGGGUUAAUAUAGAGAAGGAGGUUGCAUUACUUCUCAUAGAUACCUCUUCCAAUCCUGAACUCUCUGCGUAUCUUGCUGUCGAUUUCUCGUACGAUGACGUUAGAGUUGGAGAUUUUCUCGUGGCACUUGGGCAUCCGCAUGGCAUGCGGAGAUAUCACGAUGUAUGGAACAAUUUCGGUUUGGUCACCUAACUUUCUUCCAUCCUAGAACAGCUACUGUUAAUCACGUAAGAAUAAUUAACACACGUGUGCGCACACAGUGCAUGCAUAUUGAUAGUAGCUAACGUGCACUACAUGAAUGUAUACUUGCAGCAAGGAGGUCGGUCCUACUGCCACUGGUUUGGGCAGUAUUGUCCAAAUAUUUAAUUGGUGGUGACUUUGGCACCAGUCCGGGCAUGUGCGGCUCACCAGUUUUUGGAGUAGAUGGCCGGGUGGUAUUCAUGACCAUCUCUGACGUCCAAGAUAUGACAUAUGUUCUUUCAGUGGGGUGGAUAUGGGAGACACUACAGAUAUACUUCUAGUACUAUGUAUGUGUCUAGUAUAGGUUCAUUUUACUCCACACAUGACCCAUCACAUCAAGCCAAUCAGGUCGACGCAGUGCCCCCCCCCAUUUUAUUGGGCUAGAGAGGAUAUGAUGCCCAUCAUGUAAUACAGAUGUAUUUCUAGUACUAUGUACACAUACACUGUACUCCACACAUGGCCCAUCACAUCCAGCCCAUCAGGUCUAUGCAGUGCCCCUCAGUUUAUUAGGCUGGAGAGUAUAUGAUGCCCAUCAUGUAGUACAGAUGUACUUCUAGUACUAUAUACACAUACAAGCUCGUAUAUUUUCACUGCAAUGGAGUAGUUAAAUUAAUAAUGGCACAUUUUACAAUAUCGUGGGCAUUGCUAAUUAAUUAAGACGCGCCAGUAUACUCGUACCCGCAGGAGCUAUGACCAGCUGCCACCCGGAAGCAUUCAUGCAAAGAGGAUAGAAGAAGAACACGCCAUGUCCGUUGUAAGGCUGUGCAUCGCAAGAACUAAGAAGAACAAAGGAUGUGGCACCGGUUUUGUCAUGGUCGACACCGCGAACAAGCUUGUGGUCAUGACCUGUGCCCACUCGUUAAAUGAAUGGGUUAGGGGCACAAAGGAAUGCGUCUCAUUCCAUGGCAUGGGAGAUGCUAGUGUCGAAGCGGUGUGGGUUAAUACAGAGAAGGAGGUAGCAUUGCUUCUCAUAGAUACCUCUUCCAAUCCUUAACUCUCUACGUAUCCUGCUGUCGAUUUCUUGUACGAUGAUGUUAGAGUUGGACAUUUUCUCGUGACGCUUGGGCAUCGUCAUGGCAUGCGGGGCUAUCACGAUACAUGGAACAAUUUCGGCUUGGUCACCUAAGUUGCUUCCAUCCAAAAAAAAAAUACUGUUAAUCACGUACGAAUAAUUAGUACACGUGCGCGCGCAUAGAGGCGUACAGUGCAUGCAUAUUGAUAGUAGCUAACGUGCACUACAUGAAUGUAUACUUGCAGCGAGGAGGUCGGUCCUACUGCCACUGGUUUGGGCAGUAUUGUCCAAAUAUUUAAUUAGGGGUGAAUUUGGCACCGGUACGGGCGCGUGCGGCUCACCAAUUUUUGGAGUAGAUGGCCGGUUGGUAGGCAUGAGCAUCUCUGGAGUCCAAGAUAUGACAUAUGUUCUUUCAGUGGGAUGGAUAUGGGAGACACUACAGAUGUACUUCUAGUACUAUGUAUGUGUCUAGUAUAGGUUCACUGUACUCCAUACAUGGCCCAUCACAUCAAGCCCAUCAGGUCUACGCAGUGCCCCCAGUUAGUUGGGCAAGAGAGGAUAUGGUGCCCAUCAUGUAGUACAGAUGUAUUUCUAGUACUAUGUACACAUACUGUACUCCACCCACGGCCCAUCACAUCCAGCCCAUCAGGUCUAUGCAGUGCCCCUCAGUUUAUUUUGGGCUAGAGAGUAUAUGAUGCCCACAUGUAGUACAGAUGUACUUCUAGUACUAUGUCCACAUACAAGCUAGUAUAUUUUCACUACACUGGAGUAGUUAAAUUAAUAAUGGCACAUUUACAAUAUCCUGGGCAUUGCUAAUUAAUUAAGGCUUUGUAACCGCAGAAACUAUGACCAGCUGCCACUCGAAAGCAUUCAUGCAAAGAGGAUAGACGAAGAACAUGCCAUGUCCGUGGUAAGGCUGUGCAUCACAAGAACUAAUUAGAAUAAAGGACGUGGCACCGGUCUUAUCGUGGUCAACACCGCGAACAAGCUUGUGGUCAGGACCUAUGGCCACCCGUUAAAUGAAUGGGUUAGGGGCACAAAGGUAGGCGUCACUUUCCAUGACAUGAGAGAUGCUAGUGCCGAAGCGGUGUGGGUUAAUAUAGAGAAGGAGGUUGCAUUACUUCUCAUAGAUACCUCUUCCAAUCCUGAACUCUCUGCGUAUCUUGCUGUCGAUUUCUCGUACGAUGACGUUAGAGUUGGAGAUUUUCUCGUGGCACUUGGGCAUCCGCAUGGCAUGCGGAGCUAUCACGAUGUAUGGAACAAUUUCGGUUUGGUCACCUAACUUUCUUCCAUCCUACAACAGCUACUGUUAAUCACGUAAGAAUAAUUAACACACGUGUGCGCACACAGUGCAUGCAUAUUGAUAGUAGCUAACGUGCACUACAUGAAUGUAUACUUGCAGCAAGGAGGUCGGUCCUACUGCCACUGGUUUGGGCAGUAUUGUCCAAAUAUUUAAUUGGUGGUGACUUUGUCACAGGUCCGGGCGCGUGCAGCUCACCUGUUUUUGGAGUAGAUGGCCGGGUGGUAGGGAUGAUCAUCUCUGGAGUCCAAGAUAUGAAAUAUGUUCUUUCAGUGGGGUGGAUAUGGGAGACACUACAGAUGUACUUCUGGUACUAUGUAUGUGUCUAGUAUACGUUCACUGUACUCCACACAUGGCCCAUCACAUCAAGCCCAUCAGGUCGACGCAGUGCCCCCCCCAGUUUAUUGGGCGAGAGAGGAUAUGGUGCCCAUCAUGUAGUACAGAUGUAUUUCUCGUACUAUGUACACAUACACUGUACUCCACAGAUGGCCCAUCACAUCCAGCCCAUUAGGUUUAUGCAGUGCCCCUCAAUUUUUUGGGCUAGAGAGUAUAUGAUGCCCACAUGUAGUACAGAUGUACUUCUAGUACUAUGUACACAUACAAGCUAGUAUAUUUUCACUGCACUGGAGUAGUUAAAUUAAUAAUGGCACUUUUACAAUAUCCUGGGCAUUGCUAAUUAAUUAAGGCGCGCCAGUAUACUCGUACCUGCAGGAACUAUGACCAGUUGCAUCCCGGAAGCAUUGAUGCAAAGUAUGGCGGAACCACCUCUGAUUAACUUAACUAAAGCACGGUUAAGUCGCCUGAUGUGCGAUCCUCAUGCCUUAAUCAAGUUAACUCGAUGUGCCUGUGACGGCCUCGGACAAAAAUCCUUCGCGUCAAUCUUAAUCCGAGCCCCUGAUCACCUGUCUUAGUUUUUCCAAGCCUAAGUGUUCAACCUCCAGCUCUUCCGACCCCUGCGAUCCGACCCCUCGCCGUGGUCUUCCCAGUUCCGACCCCACCGACUGUUGGAGGUAUGCCCUAGAGGCAAUCAUAGAGAUGAUGAUAUUCCAUUUGUAUCCAUGAUUUGUAUAUUGUGUUCAUUGAAUAUCCAUUAAAGGCUACUUGAAUUGAUUUGCAAUUAUGUGAAUUGUAUGUGAAACUCUUUAGUUGUAUGGUUAUUCUAAAGUUGUCCCUAGUCGGAGUUCAUGUGAGGACACACAUGAAUAUUAGACUAGCACAUGUAUUAGUUGAUGACUAUGUUUCACAAGUCAUGGACAUGGAGAUGUUGAACUAAUAAUGUGGACACAUGUGGAGACAUGUGCUAGGACUGACCCAACACGAGAAGUAGUUCUCUCUUUAAACAACAUAUACGCUUUGUCCUUAGAUCUGAGAUUGUCGCAUGUAUUCUAGAUGUGGAUCGACCUACUUAGGGGCUAUCAAACGCUACGCCGUAAUAGGGUAGUUAUAAAGGUAGCUUUUGGGUUUGUCAAGAAGCAUGCUAUGAGACAUGGUCAAUCAAGAUGGGAUUUGCCCCUCUCUGAUUGAGAGAGAUAUCUCUGGGCCCCUCGAGUGAUCGGAUCCGAAAAUGCAUGGCCAUGCUACGUACGGUUAAGAGUUAACCUACAAAGAGAUUCCGAAUCACAGGAUCGAGAAAGAGCGGUCGGCUUGAAGCUAGACCAAAUAUCGUGAGGCAAAGGGAAUAGCAUGUAUAUUAUGUUGUGAUGGUUCGUCUGAUAUGAUCUUCGUGUGCGUAUAGGAGUUGACACGUCUUGCUAGAGGCCGCUACCAACUAUUGGGCCGAGUAGGAGUACUCGGGCCAUGUCUAUACGUAUCUGAACCCAUAGGGUCACACACUUAAGGGGCUGGAAGCCCAAUUCGGAUCUGAUCCGAGUUGGAUUAGGUUUAGAAGUACUAAUGGGCCUCGGACCCAGAGGCCCGUCAGGAACCUCUAUAAAUAGAGGGGUGGGGGCGCCCUAGGGUUUACACCUUUUGGCGAAACACAUCUGCCGCGCCUCCCACGCCCUCGCCUGUUGCAACUCAUGGAUCUAGCAGUCCGGCUUGCGACGCUUCCUCCCUGCACGUGUGGAUACCUUGGAGGUGUUGCGCCUGUAGCACUUGGACGAGCCGCCGACGAGCCACGACGAGCCGACGACGAGCCGCGGCACGAGGGCGAUCUUGCUGCACGUGGACGAGCUGCUGAGGAGCUGUUGGACGUUGACGUGAUCGACUACGUACGACUACGUUGAUCGACUACGUACGACUACGUGAUCGUCUUCACUGCAUCGACGCAUAUCUACAUCUUCCGCACCAGUAGUGCGUCGAGUGGUAAUCCCGUGAACCUUAUACGACAGCUCUUCCUGGUUUUACGCGGUAAAAAUUUUGAUUUGCGCUAGUGUAGCCUACCUCGUAUCCCUACACCGACCCCCAACCCCCGUCGGAUCUUCCUAAGCCAUCCCGCAGCAUUGCCCUCCAGUUCGAGCAGUGGACCACCGAGACUGACCGGUGGGCCCACUAGAUCUUUUCCCCCAGAUCUCCCGUGACAGGCGCACUCGAGUUGCAUGCCCGCUUCAGUUUUUCCCCGCCGCGUGGCUCAACUCCUUCGACGUCCGCCGCUCCACCUCGUCUCCGGCCCGCGACCAGAUGGAUUCUCGCGCCCCCUUCCCCAAUCGCGGCAGAAGCCCCUCUGCAACCCUUUCUGCAGUACCUCGCCGCCCGCGCCCAUCAUCACAUUGCCAGAUCCCGGCCGCAAAGCCCGAUGCCGCCCGUCUUUUCCGUCACCUCGCCACAGUCGCGCUGCCCCGGUCUUCGCUACACGACGAUUCCUCCUCCGCCAACCCAGACCGCGGCAGCGACAGCUCCUUUUUUCCGCCCUGUCAGAAGCCGCCCCGACAAUCUGUUGCUCCGCGCUCGCCCGCGCGCCCGCUGCCGCCUGUCUUCUCACCUGUGCGCCCUCGAUCCUAGUGCCGUUUUCCCAGUCACUUCCAUAAGAUCCACCGCACGACGACGCCCGCCUCCGCCAAAUCUCAACCACCGGCAAACCCGCGCCUGCGCCGCCCUGACGUCAGUGCCCAAUGACCGCCGGCGUCAUCCCCGAAGUCCUGCUUCACCGCCCUCGUCGCUUAAUUGCCGUCUCUCUUGCUCCCUGUUCGAACUCACAGCGCCACCACCUAAGUCUGAGGAACUCUCCUCUGUGCUCAAGCGCCACCGAUUUCCCCGAUCCGCCAGCCACUACUUUCAGUGCUGCCCAAGAGCUUGCUUGUGAUCCACAAGAAGCACCGCCGCCGCCGGACUUUCUCACCGCCAUCCCAAGCCCUUAGUUCUUCCGCCCAAGCCUCCUCUGUAAGACGAAGGUAGGCUGCCGACCCUUGUUCGCUUCGCGCAACCCCUCUUAUCCGCCCGACCCUGGUUCCAUCUCGCCCGACCCUGUCUGUUCCGCCGACCCUUCUCCGCCUCGCCCGAGGGCUCAGCUGUAUCUUUUUCUUUGAACUGAGGGUGUAUGUGCAAAACUUGGGGACCUUUCAGCGUUGAAUCUGAGGACCCCUAGUACAUCAAACCCUCUAGAUUAAGGGUCAGAUCAUAAGUUCUUUCCCCUCCGACCCUUACCUCUUGAUCUCCAUCAACUCCUUUGAACCUCCCCACCCUCCUGUAACUUGUCGCAAGUUUCUGGGCUCAGAUUUGCAAGUGUUGCUGUUGAAAUAACCGUCUAUCCUAACCAAUGCAUUGCAUUCGUGUAGAGCUGCGUCUCGCCGACGGCUACUACGAGCUGCACCCGGCGCCAGAAGACGACGGUGUAGUUGAGCUCCUGCCCCCAGAAGCUGAAGUUACCCCAGAAGUCGAGCAGUUCCCUUCCUCUUUGCUCGAAGGCAAGCCCCGGAUGCAUGAAUCCCCCUAUGUUUUACCAGACUUGCGCAUGCCUUCUUUAACAUGCUUGUGCAUUUACGUAUAGGAGUUGUUUGGAACCCUAGAUGCAUAACUUAGCUUACCUGAUCUGAACACUAGCUGUUGGACCGAGUAGAUGCUUGCUUAAAUAGGAAACGGUAAAAGCCGAGUGAUUCCCUGUCACUCGCGAGUUGUAGGAGUUGGAUGUUUACUCUUCUGUCACAACUAUAAGGAUGAUGGACGGGGCAGGGUUUUGGGUAACUCUUUGGUGGUCGGCUGAUCGCCCCGUCUGUCUAUGAAAAAUGCUAAGCCCCGACAGUGGUGGUGUUUGUGAUCAAGUGUUUGAAAGUACUAAUCUCAUACCUAGUAUGGGAUGAGGAAGCCUAGUACCUGAUUGAACUAGGGCGUGGCUUAUACCCCUGCUGUCCCUGGAACGAGGUUCCCAUGGUGCAUCAUGUGGGUGCAAGUGCGGUCACAGUACGGCAGAGGCCGGGACUGUGGAGCAUUGCAUGCCAAGGGAAGUUUAGACCUGACACGCGCCUGGGAAUUGAUGGGGACGGCCGACACGGGAAGCGGCCCUUGUGGUGUGCGGAUGUCGUGAGAUUAGGUUCGCCAUGCAUGGUUAAGAAACUCGAAUCGAUUCGUCUGCCUCUCAAAGUUUGAGACUGCUUGAUCGCUAUGUCACCCUGAGUAAAUAAGGAAUCUGAUGAUGACAUGGUUUUGCUGAUGUUGUAUAUACCUUUGAUUGGUUCUAUGAUUGCUUAGAAUAGGUUGCAAACUUAGAACGGAUAAUGAACUUAGAACCGGAGCUAAAACUUGAAAGUAGGGUUACCUCUAGUGCUUUUGGCAAACAAACCCCUCAGCCAAAAAAAGCCUUGCAUGUCUAGAAGAGGUAGUUUAGCGUGCUCCCUAUCGGUUAAGUCUUGUUGAGCUUAAUUAGUAGCUCAGCCUUGUUGUGGCUCUUCUUUUUCAGGUGAAGUUGCUGCUUCUAAGCCCCUUUCUGCUGGCACUUGGCCGCCCUAACUCCCUCCGGGUUGGACGGUCGAGUGGGAUCCCUCCUCGGACGGCGAGGAGAGGGAUCAGUGACGUCCCGGUUGGCCUCACCAGGGAUGUCCGACCCCGACGAAAUAGCUUCCGCUUGUUGUUUUAUCUUCGGUGGUUUUCUUUCAAACCUUGUAAACUCUGAUGAUGGUUUAUAACCAAACUAGAUGGUUAAUUUGCUUAACUUAGUGGACUUGUUGUAUUCUCUGGAACCGCUCACCUUCGAGUGGGUCUGCUAUUCGGUCCUGUUCAAGUGGUUAAAUCGGAUGAAAUCCGAUGGCACUUCGUGUUUACUCGGUUAGGCAUGAGCGUCGCGUGUCAUGCGGCUAAAUCAUGUUUAACUAAGCAAAUCCGAAGUGGAUCCGCCACAGUGCCGUUGGAUUUCAUCCGAUUUAACCACUUAACAGGAUCGAGUUAGCAUAGCUCACACGAAGGUGAGUGGUUCCAGAGAAUACAACAGAUCCACAAUUUGAUUAACAAGUUGUUAACAAGUUUACAAAGGUUGAAAGAAACAACAGAAGUUAGAAACAAGCGGAAGCUACUCGUCGGGGUCGGAUAUCCCUGGUGAGGCCAGCCAGGACAUCAAUGAUCCCAUUCCCCACCGUCCGAGGAAGGAUCCCACUCGAUCGUCCAACCCGGAGGGAGCUGGGGCGGCCAAGUGCCAGCAGCAAGCUCUGAAGCUGCAACUUCACCUGAAAAGAGAAGCCACAACAAGGCUGAACUUCUAAGCUCAACAAGACUUAACCGACCGGUGGGAGAAACUAUUCCACCACGGCUAGACAUGCAAGGCUCUUUGGCUGAGGGGUUUUGUUUGCCAAAAGCGACUAUGUUAGGUCCUUGCUUUCAAAGUUUUAGCUCAGAUUCUAAGUUCAUUUACCAGUCUAUGCUGGCAACUUACACUAAGCAAACAUAGAUCCAAUUUUAUGUAUAUAAGCUCAUCAUCAAGACCAUGUCAUCAUCAGACUCCUUCAUUACUCAGUGUAGCAUUAUGAUCAAGCAGUCUCAAACUGUGAGAGGUAGACGAAUCGAUUCGAGUUCCUUAACCAUGCAUGAUAAACCUAACCUCACGAUAUCCGCGCACCACCGAGGGUUGCUUCCUGUGUCGGCCUUCCCCAUCAGUUCCCUAACCCGUGUCGGGUCCACUUCCUUUGGUGCAAGGUUCCACAGACCCGGCCUCUGCCGUUCUGCGACCACACUUGCCACCACGUGCGGCCGCAGGGGAACUUCGUUUCAAGGACAGUGGAGCGACUGCUCACGUUUAGGUUCAAUCGGGUACUAGGCUUUCCUAUCCCAUACUGGGUAUGAGAUUAGUACUUUCAAACACUUGAUCACGAACACCGCCACUGUCGGGCCUUAACAGGUUCAGUAAACAGACGGGGCGAUCAGCCGACCACCAAAAGAGUUAACCAUAACCCUGCCCCGUCCAUUGUCCUUAUAGUUGUAACAGAAGAAAACAACCAACUCCUAUAACUCGCGAGUGACAGGAAAUCACUUAGCUUUUACCGCUUCCUAUUUAAGCAUUGCAACUACUCGACCCAACAGACUAGUGUACAUUUCAAAGGAACUAUAGCAUGCAUCUAUGGUUGCAAACAACUCCUAUACGUAAAUGCACAAUCAUGAGAAGGAAGGCAUGCGCAAGUUUGGAAAGAUGGGUUCAUGAUCCGGGGCUUGCCUUCAAGCGGAGAGGAGGGAAACUAGUCUUCAGCUGGGGCUGCUUCGGCUUCUGGGAUUGGCAGCUCAGAUACGCCUCUGUCUUCGGGCGCCGGGUGUAGCUCGUAGACGCCGUCAGCGAGAUGUAACUCUACACGAAUGCAAAUGCAGGAGUUAGUGUUUAGACGGUUAUUUCAACACACUUGCAAGUUAAAGCUCGGACACUUGUAGCAAGGCUACAGAAAAGGUGGGGGAAGUUCACUUUAGUUGGUGGAGAACAAGAUAAAAGGGUCGGAUGGGGGAAAACUUGGGAUCUGACCCUUAAAGUUAAGAAAUAACUGUGUCGUGGUCCUCGGACUUAACACCGGGGAGUUCCCGAUAUUUUGCACAGAUACCCUCGGGUCAAGGAAAAGGAUACAGCCAAGCCCUUUGGCGAGGUCAUAAGGGUCGGCGAAACAGAUAGGGUCGAGCGAGGCAAAAAAGGGGUCAGGCGAAUCGUAAAGGGGUCGGCAGCUUACCUUCAGGUUUAUAGGUGAAGCUUGGGGUCGGGAAGGAGCAGACUUGGGUGGAAGGACUUAAGCACUAAGGCUUGGGUGGCGGCGAGGUUGGACAAUGCUCCGGCGGCGGCAGAGCUUCUUGUGGGCAACAAGGAAGCUCUAGCACACCACGAAGGAGCAGACGGCUGGGUGGACUGGGGAGAAGUGGACUUGAGCGGAGAGGGGAACUUUUCGAGAUUUCAGCGGGAUUGCUCAAGUGCGCUCAGAGUAGGGGAGGUGAAACAGCAAGGGCGAAGGAACUCCGGUGGAACUCUGGCAUUCCUUUUUAUAGCUGCGCGGAAGAGAGAGAUUUCGAGCAGCACGAAGACCGGGAAGAAAAGGAUGGGGUGUGCUACCAUGAUGGCGAUUGAGCGGCGAUGGGCGGCGGAACUGGACCUUGGAGAUAGAGUCUUCGGCCAUUGGGCACUGGAGACAAGGCGGAGCAGGCGCGGUUUUGCCGGGGUUUAGAUUUGGCGGAGGCGAGCGUAGCCUGGUCACGUCGAGCGGCGGAUUUGACUGGUGUGACAGGGGGAAAGGUGCUACAAGCGAGGUUGCAACAGGUGAAGUGACAGGGCGAGCAGCGGCGCGAGCAAGUGCGAAACAGCGGCAUUGCCGAAGCACGUCACUGGUGGGGCGAGAAAAGGAGCUGUCGCGGCCAAAGUCGGGGUUGGCGAGGGAGGUAUCGUCGUGGAGUGAGCUCGUGGGCGGCGCGACUGUGGAGAGGCGGCGGAAAAAUCGGAAGGCAUCGGGUCUUGCAGCCGGGGAUCCGGUGAGAUGAUGGACGCGGGUCGCGAGGCGGUCUGACGCAGCAGCGGCAAAACUCUGCCAUGGCAGCGACGGGGCACCUUGGUGCGGCCGGCGAGGGCGCGAACGAGACGGGGCGAAGCAGAAAGGGUUGCAGAGGGGCUUCCGCUACGAUUGGGGAGGAGGGCGCGUGGAUCCAUCCUAUCGCGGCCGGCGGCUGGGCGAAGCGGCAGGUGUCAGAGAGAUCAUGCCAUGCGGCGGGGAAGCUCUGAAGCGGGCGCAUGCUGCUCGGCGUGUCUGCCUCGUGAGAUCCGGGGAGAAGAUUGUGGGUCCACCAGUCAGUCUCGGUUGUUCCACAGCUCCAAGAUUGAAAGGAACACUGCCUUUGGGUACUCAGAAGGAACCGGCAGUUUUGGUUGGGUUCUCAGGGGUCGGGACUAAGAACCGGUUUUUGGAGCGCUUAAGCUCAGGGGAGCUGAGACAGAGGGAUUAGGGACCCAGAUUAAGAUUAACUCGGCCGAUCAACCAAGGUCGUUACACCUAUGGGUUCGGAUACGUAUAGACAUGGCCCGAGUACUCCUACUCGGUCCAAUAGUCAGUAGCGGCCUCUAGCAAGACGUGCCAACUCCUAUACGCACACGAAGAUCAUAUCAGACGAACCAUCACAACAUUAUGUACAUGCUAUUCCCUUUGCCUCACGAUAUUUGGUCUAGCUCCAAGCCGACCGCUCUUUCUCGAUCCUGUGAUUCGGAAUCCCUUUGUAGGUUUACUCUUAACCGUACAUAGCAUGGUCAUGCAUUUUCGGAUCCGAUCACUCGAGGGGCCCAGAGAUAUCACUCUCAAUCAGAUAGGGGUAAAUUCCAUCUUGAUUGACCAUGUCUCACAGCAUUCUUCCUGACAAACCCGAAAGCUACCUUUAUAACUACCCUGUUACGGUGUAGCGUUUGAUUGCCCCUAAGUGAGUCGAUUCACAUCUCGAGUACAUGCGACAAUCUCAGGUCUAAGGAUAAAUCGUACUUGUUGUGUAAAGCGAGAACUACUUCUCGUGUUGGGUCAGUCCUAGCCCAUGUCUCCACAUGCGCCCACAUUAUUAGUUUAACAUCUCCAUGUCCAUGACUUGUGAAACAUAGUCAUCAACUAAUACAUGUGCUAGUUUAAUAUUCAUGUGUGUCCUCAUAUGAACUCCGACUAGGGACAACUUUAGAAUAACCAUACAAGUAAAGAGUUUUUUUAACAAUUCACAUAAUUGCAAAUCAAUUCAAGUAGCCUUUAAUGGAUAUUCAAUGAACACAAUAUAUAAAACAUGGAUACAAAUGUAAUAUCAUCAUCUCUAUGAUUGCCUCUAGGUCAUACCUCCAACACUCUCUGCGUAUCCUGCUGUCGAUUUCUCGUACGAUGAUGAUAGAGUUGGAGAUUUUCUCGUGACGCUUGGGCAUCCUCAUGGCAUGCGGGGCUAUCAUGAUGUAUGGAACAAUUCCGGCUUGGUCACCUAAGUUGCUUCCAUCCUAAAACAGCUACUGUUAAUCAUGUACGAAUAAUUAACACACGUGCGCGCGCACAGAGGCGUACAGUGCAUGCAUAUUGAUAGUAGCUAACGUGCACUACAUGAAUGUAUACUUGCAGCAAGGAGGUCGGUCCUACUGCCACUGGUUUGGGC
rnacentral:lncRNA from 1 species